rnacentral:rRNA from 1 species
GACGAACGCUGGCGGCGUGCUUAACACAUGCAAGUCGAACGGAAAGGCCCUGCUUUUGUGGGGUGCUCGAGUGGCGAACGGGUGAGUAACACGUGAGUAACCUGCCCUUGACUUUGGGAUAACUUCAGGAAACUGGGGCUAAUACCGGAUAGGAGCUCCUGCUGCAUGGUGGGGGUUGGAAAGUUUCGGCGGUUGGGGAUGGACUCGCGGCUUAUCAGCUUGUUGGUGGGGUAGUGGCUUACCAAGGCUUUGACGGGUAGCCGGCCUGAGAGGGUGACCGGCCACAUUGGGAAUGAGAUACGGCCCAGACUCCUACGGGAGGCAGCAGUGGGGAAGAUUGCAAAAUGGGCGGAAGCCUGAUGCAGCAACGCCGCGUGCGGGAUGAAGGCCUUAGGGUUGUAAACCGCUUUCGCCUGUGACGAAGCGUGAGUGACGGUAAUGGGUAAAGAAGCACCGGAUAACUACGUG